UACGUAGGUAGCAAGCGUUGUCCGGAAUGACUGGGCGUAAAGGGUGCGUAGGUGGUGGAGCAAGUUGGUAGUGAAAUUCCGAGGCUUAACUUCGGCGCUACUACCAAGACUGCUUGACUUGAGUACAGGAGAGGUAAGUGGAAUUCCUAGUGUAGCGGUGGAAUGCGUAGAUAUUAGGAAGAACACCGGAGGCGAAGGCGACUUACUGGCCUGCAACUGACACUGAGGCACGAAAGCGUGGGGAGCAAAC
rnacentral:rRNA from 1 species